UAGGGAAUCUUCCGCAAUGGACGCAAGUCUGACGGAGCAACGCCGCGUGAGUGAAGAAGGAUUUCGGUUCGUAAAACUCUGUUGUUAGAGAAGAACAGCGCAUAGAGUAACUGUUAUGCGUGUGACGGUAUCUAACCAGAAAGCCACGGCUAACUACGUGCCAGCAGCCGCGGUAAUACGUAGGUGGCAAGCGUUGUCCGGAUUUAUUGGGCGUAAAGCGAGCGCAGGCGGUCAAUUAAGUCUGAUGUGAAAGCCCCCGGCUCAACCGGGGAGGGUCAUUGGAAACUGGUUUGCUUGAGGGCAGAAGAGGAGAGUGGAAUUCCAGGUGUAGCGGUGAAAUGCGUAGAUAUAUGGAGGAACACCAGUGGCGAAGGCGACUCUCUGGUCUGUAACUGACGCUGAGGCUCGAAAGCGUGGGUAGCAAACAGG
rnacentral:rRNA from 1 species